rnacentral:lncRNA from 12 species
CCCCCCCCCCCCCCCCCCCCCCCCCCCCCCCCCCCCCCCCCCCCCCCCCCCCCCCCCCCCCCCCCCCCCCCCGUGUCCCCGCCGUGUCCCGCUGGUGUCCCCUGGAGUGUCCGUGUCGGUGCCAGCUCGGUGUCACCAGCGGUGACAAUUCCUGGUGACACAUCCUGGGGGUUCCCAGUCCGGGGGUUCCCAGUCCGGGGGUUCCCAGUUUGGGGUCCCCAACCCGCUGGUGGCAGCGGUGCCGGGGGAGGGACAUGUCCUGUGGUUCCCCAGCGUAGUGACAAUUCCUGUGUGUCCCCAGCGUGGUGACAAUUCCUGUGAGUGUCCCCAGCACGGUGACAGUUCCUGUGGCGGUGUCCCCAGCACGGUGACAAUUCCUCCCCCCCCCCCCCCCCCCCCCCCCCCCCCCCCCCCCCCCCCCCCCCCCCCCCCCCCCCCCCCCCCCCCCC